rnacentral:rRNA from 1 species
UACGUAGGGGGCGAGCGUUGUCCGGAUUUAUUGGGCGUAAAGGGUUCGUAGGCGGCCUUUUAGGUCAGAUGUGAAAUCCCAUAGCUCAACUAUAGGUAAGCAUUUGAAACUGGAAGGCUUGAGUUAAGGAGAGGAAAGUGGAAUUCCUAGUGUAGCGGUGAAAUGCGUAGAUAUAUGGAGGAACACCAGUGGCGAAGGCGACUCUCUGGUCUGUAACUGACGCUGAGGCUCGAAAGCGUGGGGAGCAAACAGGAUUAGAUACCCCUGUAGUCCCU